AGGUGAUAUGAACCGUUAUAACCGGCGAUACCCGAAUGGGGAAACCCAGUGUGACUCGUCACACUAUCAUUAACUGAAUCCAUAGGUUAAUGAGGCGAACCGGGGGAACUGAAACAUCUAAGUACCCCGAGGAAAAGAAAUCAACCGAGAUUCCCCCAGUAGCGGCGAGCGAACGGGGAGGAGCCCAGAGCCUGAAUCAGCAUGUGUGUUAGUGGAAGCGUCUGGAAAGGCGCGCGAUACAGGGUGACAGCCCCGUACACAAAAGCGCAUGUGCUGUGAGCUCGAUGAGUAGGGCGGGACACGUGGUAUCCUGUCUGAAUAUGGGGGGACCAUCCUCCAAGGCUAAAUACUCCUGACUGACCGAUAGUGAACCAGUACCGUGAGGGAAAGGCGAAAAGAACCCCGGCGAGGGGAGUGAAAAAGAACCUGAAACCGUGUACGUACAAGCAGUGGGAGCACAGGUUUACCUGUGUGACUGCGUACCUUUUGUAUAAUGGGUCAGCGACUUAUAUUCUGUAGCAAGGUUAACCGAAUAGGGGAGCCGGAGGGAAACCGAGUCUUAAUUGGGCGUUAAGUUGCAGGGUAUAGACCCGAAACCCGGUGAUCUAGCCAUGGGCAGGUUGAAGGUUGGGUAACACUAACUGGAGGACCGAACCGACUAAUGUUGAAAAAUUAGCGGAUGACCUGUGGCUGGGGGUGAAAGGCCAAUCAAACCGGGAGAUAGCUGGUUCUCCCCGAAAGCUAUUUAGGUAGCGCCUCGUGAAUUCAUCUCCGGGGGUAGAGCACUGUUUCGGCUAGGGGGCCAUCCCGGCUUACCAACCCGAUGCAAACUGCGAAUACCGGAGAAUGUUAUCACGGGAGACACACGGCGGGUGCUAACGUCCGUCGUGAAGAGGGAAACAACCCAGACCGCCAGCUAAGGUCCCAAAGUCAUGGUUAAGUGGGAAACGAUGUGGGAAGGCCCAGACAGCCAGGAUGUUGGCUUAGAAGCAGCCAUCAUUUAAAGAAAGCGUAAUAGCUCACUGGUCGAGUCGGCCUGCGCGGAAGAUGUAACGGGGCUAAACCAUGCACCGAAGCUGCGGCAGCGACACUGUGUGUUGUUGGGUAGGGGAGCGUUCUGUAAGCCUGCGAAGGUGGCCUGUGAGGGUUGCUGGAGGUAUCAGAAGUGCGAAUGCUGACAUAAGUAACGAUAAAGCGGGUGAAAAGCCCGCUCGCCGGAAGACCAAGGGUUCCUGUCCAACGUUAAUCGGGGCAGGGUGAGUCGACCCCUAAGGCGAGGCCGAAAGGCGUAGUCGAUGGGAAACGGGUUAAUAUUCCCGUACUUGGUGUUACUGCGAAGGGGGGACGGAGAAGGCUAUGUUGGCCGGGCGACGGUUGUCCCGGUUUAAGCGUGUAGGUGUGUGUUCCAGGUAAAUCCGGUUCACUUUAACACUGAGGCGUGACGACGAGGCACUACGGUGCUGAAGCAACAAAUGCCCUGCUUCCAGGAAAAGCCUCUAAGCAUCAGGUAACAUCAAAUCGUACCCCAAACCGACACAGGUGGUCAGGUAGAGAAUACCAAGGCGCUUGAGAGAACUCGGGUGAAGGAACUAGGCAAAAUGGUGCCGUAACUUCGGGAGAAGGCACGCUGACACGUAGGUGAAGUGAUUUACUCAUGGAGCUGAAGUCAGUCGAAGAUACCAGCUGGCUGCAACUGUUUAUUAAAAACACAGCACUGUGCAAACACGAAAGUGGACGUAUACGGUGUGACGCCUGCCCGGUGCCGGAAGGUUAAUUGAUGGGGUCAGCGCAAGCGAAGCUCCUGAUCGAAGCCCCGGUAAACGGCGGCCGUAACUAUAACGGUCCUAAGGUAGCGAAAUUCCUUGUCGGGUAAGUUCCGACCUGCACGAAUGGCGUAAUGAUGGCCAGGCUGUCUCCACCCGAGACUCAGUGAAAUUGAACUCGCUGUGAAGAUGCAGUGUACCCGCGGCAAGACGGAAAGACCCCGUGAACCUUUACUAUAGCUUGACACUGAACAUUGAGCCUUGAUGUGUAGGAUAGGUGGGAGGCUUUGAAGUGUGGACGCCAGUCUGCAUGGAGCCGACCUUGAAAUACCACCCUUUAAUGUUUGAUGUUCUAACGUGGACCCGUUACCCGGGUUGCGGACAGUGUCUGGUGGGUAGUUUGACUGGGGCGGUCUCCUCCUAAAGAGUAACGGAGGAGCACGAAGGUUGGCUAAUCCUGGUCGGACAUCAGGAGGUUAGUGCAAUGGCAUAAGCCAGCUUGACUGCGAGCGUGACGGCGCGAGCAGGUGCGAAAGCAGGUCAUAGUGAUCCGGUGGUUCUGAAUGGAAGGGCCAUCGCUCAACGGAUAAAAGGUACUCCGGGGAUAACAGGCUGAUACCGCCCAAGAGUUCAUAUCGACGGCGGUGUUUGGCACCUCGAUGUCGGCUCAUCACAUCCUGGGGCUGAAGUAGGUCCCAAGGGUAUGGCUGUUCGCCAUUUAAAGUGGUACGCGAGCUGGGUUUAGAACGUCGUGAGACAGUUCGGUCCCUAUCUGCCGUGGGCGCUGGAGAACUGAGGGGGGCUGCUCCUAGUACGAGAGGACCGGAGUGGACGCAUCACUGGUGUUCGGGUUGUCAUGCCAAUGGCACUGCCCGGUAGCUAAAUGCGGAAGAGAUAAGUGCUGAAAGCAUCUAAGCACGAAACUUGCCCCGAG
rnacentral:rRNA from 2 species